rnacentral:misc_RNA from 1 species
UCUCCGUUGGUGAACCAGCGGAGGGAUCAUUACCGAGUUUACAACUCCAAAACCCCUGUGAACAUACCAUUUGUUGCCUCGGCGGUGCCUGCUUCGGCAGCCCGCCAGAGGUCCCAAACCCUUGAUUUUAUACAGUAUCUUCUGAGUAAAUGAUUAAAUAAAUCAAAACUUUCAACAACGGAUCUCUUGGUUCUG